GGGAUUAUUUAAUUUUGGCAAUAAGUUCGGGAGAACGGAUACUUUGGUCUCUGUGAGCACAGUCCUGACUACAACAAGGCUUUAUAGUUGCAAGUAACAGCUGAAUUUGGCUGCUUUCACCUGCACACACCAUUUGAGGUUGUGAUUUGUACCAAGGGAUACUGUUUUUCAAGUGGAGUAUUCCUUGCCUGUCCUUAAAACCUCAUGACCAAUGUCUCUGAGGGUGGUACGUGUGUUGUAAAUGAAACAAAUAAGGCAUUAAUGUGUUUGAGCACUUAGUGUAACUCCACUUCCCAGUCUGGAACUGCACAGCUGCCCACCUGCACACAGAGAAGUGAGUCAGAUGGUGCAAGGAGUCACUCUGAGACAUCUCAGCAAACAAAGUGGGACAGUGACACAGAUGUGCUCUGAGGCUUUGAAGAGGCUGAACUCCACUUCAGAGCAGACAGACUGACAGUAACUGAUUCCACAACUCCAAGGGGCACCAGCUCACAGAUUUUUGAAUAGGUGCCCCCAAGGGGUGUGCUGAGCUCAGUCCCCACGUAACCUGAAGAUGAGUUCGAGGGUUCCUUUUUUCUGAGAUAAAAGCUGAACAUCCCCACAUCUUAAGAAUCCUGCUCUAACUAGACAGCUUCAGAGAAGUUUGCUGAUCAAAUAUUUUGCUUCCCUUUUCUUUUUCAGAUCUCUUCACAUCUCUCCAUAAAUUCUCAUAUCUGAUCUCUGCACUUUGAUUUUUUUUUUUUCCCCAGUCUGAGAAGACCCUUUAGCACAUCAGUGAGGGAAAGGAGAACUCUUCAGUAUUUUUUGUAAAACUAAAGGAAGGUAAAGGUGGCAGAGGCUCUGGAACCAGCUCUAUAUGUCUGUGCCAAAGGGUGAAUACGUGGGGAGCUGUAUUGCUACUGCAGUGUGUGCUGUCACUGUGUUGUGACUGACAGCUGACUUACAGUCAAGCCAGCCUCUUCCCUAACCCUGAAUUUGUACAUAAAAGGAAUGAGAGACUCAUGUUCAAAGAAAUACAACUUCCUGAGAACACUCCUAUUGGUUCCUAGAAAAGAGAUUAAUUUGACCAGCUUGCUCUAAUCAUGGGAUUUUCAGGGUUGCUAAGGGCCAUAUGGACCUCUCUUACUGAAGGAAGCAAAUGAAUGGAUACUGUCUGGAUUCAAAACCUGCUGCACUUACAUGGUCAUUUUAGUUGGACAGCUUCAUCAAUCACCUCCAGAACGUCACUCAGUGAUGGAUGGUCACCUGUGCUCAGCAACCACAGCGGGAAAGAAGUGCUGGCAGAGGCAAUAAGUACCUGAGUCUCACUGAGCCAGUGCUCCUUCCUACCCAGAGGCCGACCCAUCAUUCCUUGUCUGAGGCACAAUGCAGAAACCAGAACCGUUCCUGGUCUCCCCUCUGGCAGCUCACAGCUGUGGGCCUAAAAAGCAGUCCAAAAAUCUGCACGGGAGAAAAGGGACAGAGCAGAGAGAUCAAAUUAAAACGCAGCCAUGGAGUACA